rnacentral:rRNA from 1 species
CCUACGGGAGGCAGCAGUGGGGAAUAUUGGGCAAUGGAGGCAACUCUUACCCAGCAAUGUCGCGUGAAUGAAGAAGGUCUUCGGAUUGUUAAGUUCUUUAAUUGGGGACGAAAAAAAUGACGGUACCCAAGGAAUAAGCCUCGGCUAACUACGUGCCAGCAGCCGCGGUAAUACGUAGGGGGCAAGCGUUGUUCGGAAUGACUGGGCGUAAGGGGUGUGUAGGCGGUGUAGCAAGAUAGAAGUGUAAUACCUAGGGCGUAACACAGGUGCUGCUUCUAAAACUGCUAUACUUGAGUGCGGUAGAGGAAAGUGGAAUUCCUAGUGUAGCGGUGGAAUGCGUAGAUAUUAGGAGGAACAUCAGUGGCGAAGGCGACUUUCUGGACUGUAGCUGACGCUGAAGCACGAAAGUGUGGGGAGCAAACAGGAUUAGAUACCCCUGGUAGUC